UACCAGCUCUCCGAGUGGUAGGGAUGAUUAUUGGGCUUAAAGCGUCCGUAGCCGGCUUAGCAAGUCUCCUGUUAAAUUCAGCGACCUAAUCGUUGAGCCGCGGGAGAUACUACUAGGCUAGGAGGCGGGAGAGGUCAACGGUACUUCCGGGGUAGGGGUGAAAUCCUAUAAUCCCGGGAGGACCACCAGUGGCGAAGGCUGUUGACUAGAACGCGCUCGACGGUGAGGGACGAAAGCUGGGGGAGCGAACCGGAUUAGAUACCCGGGUAGUCCCAGCUGUAAACGAUGCGAGCUAGGUGUUGGGGUGGCUACGUGCCACUUCAGUGCCGCAGGGAAGCCAUUAAGCUCGCCGCCUGGGGAGUACGGCCGCAAGGCUAGAAACUUAAGGAAUUGGCGGGGAGCACCACAAGGCGUGAAGCUUGCGGUUC
rnacentral:rRNA from 1 species